CGAUGUCGGCUCAUCGCAUCCUGGGGCUGUAGUCGGUCCCAAGGGUUGGGCUGUUCGCCCAUUAAAGCGGUACGCGAGCUGGGUUCAGAACGUCGUGAGACAGUUCGGUCCCUAUCCGUCGUGGGCGCAGGAGGUUUGAGAGGAGCUGUCCUUAGUACGAGAGGACCGGGAUGGACACACCGCUGGUGUACCAGUUGUUCCGCCAGGAGCAUAGCUGGGUAGCUACGUGUGGCAGGGAUAAGUGCUGAAAGCAUCUAAGCAUGAAGCCCCCCUCAAGAUGAGACUUCCCAUCACUAUAAGUGAGUAAGAUCCCUCAGAGAUGAUGAGGUUGAUAGGUUCGAGGUGGAAGCGUGGUGACACGUGGAGCUGACGAAUACUAAUCGAUCGAGGACUUAACUAACUU
rnacentral:rRNA from 1 species